UACGUAGGGUGCGAGCGUUGUCCGGAUUUAUUGGGCGUAAAGAGCUCGUAGGCGGUCUGUCGCGUCGGCUGUGAAAACCCGGGGCUCAACCCCGGGCCUGCAGUCGAUACGGGCAGACUAGAGUGCGGUAGGGGAGACUGGAAUUCCUGGUGUAGCGGUGAAAUGCGCAGAUAUCAGGAGGAACACCGGUGGCGAAGGCGGGUC
rnacentral:rRNA from 1 species